GAUGAACGCUAGCUACAGGCUUAACACAUGCAAGUCGAGGGGAAACGACAUCGAAAGCUUGCUUUUGAUGGGCGUCGACCGGCGCACGGGUGAGUAACGCGUAUCCAACCUGCCCACCACUUGGGGAUAACCUUGCGAAAGUAAGACUAAUACCCAAUGAUAUCUCUAGAAGACAUCUGAAAGAGAUUAAAGAUUUAUCGGUGAUGGAUGUGGAUGCGUCUGAUUAGCUUGUUGGCGGGGUAACGGCCCACCAAGGCAACGAUCAGUAGGGGUUCUGAGAGGAAGGUCCCCCACAUUGGAACUGAGACACGGUCCAAACUCCUACGGGAGGCAGCAGUGAGGAAUAUUGAUCAAUGGACGAGAGUCUGAACCAGCCAAGUAGCGUGCAGGAAGACGGCCCUAUGGGUUGUAAACUGCUUUUAUAAGGGAAUAAAGUGAGUCUCGUGAGACUUUUUGCAUGUACCUUAUGAAUAAGGACCGGCUAAUUCCGUG
rnacentral:rRNA from 1 species